rnacentral:rRNA from 1 species
AGCUCCAAAAGCGUAUAUUAAAGUUGUUGCAGUUAAAAAGCUCGUAGUUGGAUUUCGGGCGGCGCUGGGCGGUCCGUCGCAAGGCGUGCACUGCGCGGCGUUGUCUUUCCUCUCGAACGUCGGCGUGCGUCAUUAGCUUGGCGUGCGUCGGACUCGGGACGUUUACUUUGAAAAAAUUAGAGUGUUCAAAGCAGGCAUACGCUUGAAUACAUUAGCAUGGAAUAAUGGAAUAGGAUUUCGGUUCUAUUUCGUUGGUUUCUAGGACCGAGAUAAUGAUUAAUAGGGAUAGUUGGGGGCAUUAAUAUUUAAUUGUCAGAGGUGAAAUUCUUGGAUUUAUGAAAGAUUAACUUCUGCGAAAGCAUUUGCCAAGGAUGUUUUCAUUAAUCAAGAACGAAAGUAG